UUAAGCGACUAAGCGUACACGGUGGAUGCCCUGGCAGUCAGAGGCGAUGAAGGACGUGCUAAUCUGCGAUAAGCGUCGGUAAGGUGAUAUGAACCGUUAUAACCGGCGAUUUCCGAAUGGGGAAACCCAGUGUGUUUCGACACACUAUCAUUAACUGAAUCCAUAGGUUAAUGAGGCGAACCGGGGGAACUGAAACAUCUAAGUACCCCGAGGAAAAGAAAUCAACCGAGAUUCCCCCAGUAGCGGCGAGCGAACGGGGAGCAGCCCAGAGCCUGAAUCAGUGUGUGUGUUAGUGGAAGCGUCUGGAAAGGCGCGCGAUACAGGGUGACAGCCCCGUACACAAAAAUGCACAUGCUGUGAGCUCGAUGAGUAGGGCGGGACACGUGGUAUCCUGUCUGAAUAUGGGGGGACCAUCCUCCAAGGCUAAAUACUCCUGACUGACCGAUAGUGAACCAGUACCGUGAGGGAAAGGCGAAAAGAACCCCGGCGAGGGGAGUGAAAAAGAACCUGAAACCGUGUACGUACAAGCAGUGGGAGCACGCUUAGGCGUGUGACUGCGUACCUUUUGUAUAAUGGGUCAGCGACUUAUAUUCUGUAGCAAGGUUAACCGAAUAGGGGAGCCGAAGGGAAACCGAGUCUUAACUGGGCGUUAAGUUGCAGGGUAUAGACCCGAAACCCGGUGAUCUAGCCAUGGGCAGGUUGAAGGUUGGGUAACACUAACUGGAGGACCGAACCGACUAAUGUUGAAAAAUUAGCGGAUGACUUGUGGCUGGGGGUGAAAGGCCAAUCAAACCGGGAGAUAGCUGGUUCUCCCCGAAAGCUAUUUAGGUAGCGCCUCGUGAAUUCAUCUCCGGGGGUAGAGCACUGUUUCGGCAAGGGGGUCAUCCCGACUUACCAACCCGAUGCAAACUGCGAAUACCGGAGAAUGUUAUCACGGGAGACACACGGCGGGUGCUAACGUCCGUCGUGAAGAGGGAAACAACCCAGACCGCCAGCUAAGGUCCCAAAGUCAUGGUUAAGUGGGAAACGAUGUGGGAAGGCCCAGACAGCCAGGAUGUUGGCUUAGAAGCAGCCAUCAUUUAAAGAAAGCGUAAUAGCUCACUGGUCGAGUCGGCCUGCGCGGAAGAUGUAACGGGGCUAAACCAUGCACCGAAGCUGCGGCAGCGACACUAUGUGUUGUUGGGUAGGGGAGCGUUCUGUAAGCCUGUGAAGGUGUACUGUGAGGUAUGCUGGAGGUAUCAGAAGUGCGAAUGCUGACAUAAGUAACGAUAAAGCGGGUGAAAAGCCCGCUCGCCGGAAGACCAAGGGUUCCUGUCCAACGUUAAUCGGGGCAGGGUGAGUCGACCCCUAAGGCGAGGCCGAAAGGCGUAGUCGAUGGGAAACAGGUUAAUAUUCCUGUACUUGGUGUUACUGCGAAGGGGGGACGGAGAAGGCUAUGUUGGCCGGGCGACGGUUGUCCCGGUUUAAGCGUGUAGGCUGGUUUUCCAGGCAAAUCCGGAAAAUCAAGGCUGAGGCGUGAUGACGAGGCACUACGGUGCUGAAGCAACAAAUGCCCUGCUUCCAGGAAAAGCCUCUAAGCAUCAGGUAACAUCAAAUCGUACCCCAAACCGACACAGGUGGUCAGGUAGAGAAUACCAAGGCGCUUGAGAGAACUCGGGUGAAGGAACUAGGCAAAAUGGUGCCGUAACUUCGGGAGAAGGCACGCUGAUAUGUAGGUGAAGUCCCUUGCGGAUGGAGCUGAAAUCAGUCGAAGAUACCAGCUGGCUGCAACUGUUUAUUAAAAACACAGCACUGUGCAAACACGAAAGUGGACGUAUACGGUGUGACGCCUGCCCGGUGCCGGAAGGUUAAUUGAUGGGGUCAGCGCAAGCGAAGCUCUUGAUCGAAGCCCCGGUAAACGGCGGCCGUAACUAUAACGGUCCUAAGGUAGCGAAAUUCCUUGUCGGGUAAGUUCCGACCUGCACGAAUGGCGUAAUGAUGGCCAGGCUGUCUCCACCCGAGACUCAGUGAAAUUGAACUCGCUGUGAAGAUGCAGUGUACCCGCGGCAAGACGGAAAGACCCCGUGAACCUUUACUAUAGCUUGACACUGAACAUUGAGCCUUGAUGUGUAGGAUAGGUGGGAGGCUUUGAAGUGUGGACGCCAGUCUGCAUGGAGCCGACCUUGAAAUACCACCCUUUAAUGUUUGAUGUUCUAACGUGGACCCGUGAUCCGGGUUGCGGACAGUGUCUGGUGGGUAGUUUGACUGGGGCGGUCUCCUCCUAAAGAGUAACGGAGGAGCACGAAGGUUGGCUAAUCCUGGUCGGACAUCAGGAGGUUAGUGCAAUGGCAUAAGCCAGCUUGACUGCGAGCGUGACGGCGCGAGCAGGUGCGAAAGCAGGUCAUAGUGAUCCGGUGGUUCUGAAUGGAAGGGCCAUCGCUCAACGGAUAAAAGGUACUCCGGGGAUAACAGGCUGAUACCGCCCAAGAGUUCAUAUCGACGGCGGUGUUUGGCACCUCGAUGUCGGCUCAUCACAUCCUGGGGCUGAAGUAGGUCCCAAGGGUAUGGCUGUUCGCCAUUUAAAGUGGUACGCGAGCUGGGUUUAGAACGUCGUGAGACAGUUCGGUCCCUAUCUGCCGUGGGCGCUGGAGAACUGAGGGGGGCUGCUCCUAGUACGAGAGGACCGGAGUGGACGCAUCACUGGUGUUCGGGUUGUCAUGCCAAUGGCACUGCCCGGUAGCUAAAUGCGGAAGAGAUAAGUGCUGAAAGCAUCUAAGCACGAAACUUGCCCCGAGAUGAGUUCUCCCUGACCCUUUAAGGGUCCUGAAGGAACGUUGAAGACGACGACGUUGAUAGGCCGGGUGUGUAAGCGCAGCGAUGCGUUGAGCUAACCGGUACUAAUGAACCGUGAGGCUUAACCUU
rnacentral:rRNA from 1 species